rnacentral:tRNA from 1 species
GUUCGUCGUCGGGCAGGCCGGUGCCCGCGGUCAUGGCGCGGGCCACGGGUUCGGUGCGCCCGUCGGUGAGCA